rnacentral:lncRNA from 1 species
GGGAGACGUUGCUGAGCACCUUUUCAACAGUGUGGUCCUGCUCAGCCUGAGAUCCAGCUGCGCAGAAGAUGUUCUUUCUCAGAUGCUCCAACCUCUGAUCUGGAGAGGAUUCUGGUGCUGGUCAGAAAGGAUGCAGAAAACCCUGUAGCCAGCAUUCCAAGCACACUGAGCUGUGAUGCUCUUUUAUCUCGCUGUUACUGCAAGUUUGAGCCUCUGCAUCCAGAUCUUGUAACUCUCCACCUGUUAGAGCUCACUCCAAAUGCAGGAUGAAACCAUCUCCAUGCAAGGUGAAACAAAGGUCUCUGAAGGACGGAAG